CGCGUAGGUGGGUUCGCAAGUCAGAUGUGAAAUUCCGGAGCUUAACUCCGGAGCUGCAUUUGAAACUGCGGACCUUGAGGGUAGACGGAGAAAGUGGAAUUCCACGUGUAGCGGUGAAAUGCGUAGAUAUGUGGAAGAACACCUGUGGCGAAAGCGACUUUCUAGUUUAUUCCUGACACUGAGGCGCGAAAGCAAGGGGAGCAAACAGGAUUAGAUACCCUGGUAGUCC
rnacentral:rRNA from 1 species